CAUACCCCGAGCGUUCUCUGGUGCCCCCCGACUCCGAACUCUCUUUGGCAUUGUUUCACCAUGAUAGCUGGAAUCUCGGAUUAAGUGUCAGGAUUCGUGUUUAUCGAGAUGCUCGCUGACCAAGAUUCAAACUCGGCGAGCUGGAUUGUUCAAGUGUUGGGAUUUCCUUAAAAUCCCCAAUCAGACUGACGCAAGUUUUCAUGAACCUAAUGGCAGAAGGCUAUUCUCGAUCCCUUGGCCCAGGCCGGCCUCGUCCUCUGGAUGAGUGUGGGGAAAGCCGUCGUCCGAGGGCGAUCAAUGAUCAUGAUCA
rnacentral:sRNA from 1 species